GAUGAACGCUAGCUACAGGCUUAACACAUGCAAGUCGAGGGACCGGCGCACGGGUGAGUAACACGUAUCCAACCUGCCCUUUACUCGGGGAUAGCCUUUCGAAAGAACGAUUAAUACCCGAUAUAAAGGAUGGGGAUGCGUUCCAUUAGGUUGUUGGUGAGGUACCGGCUAACCAAGCCUUCGAUGGAUAGGGGAUCUGAGAGGAAGGUCCCCCGCAAUGGAACGGAGGCACAGUCCAAAACCCGACGGGAGGGAGCAGUGAGGAAUAUUGGUGAAUGAGCGCUAACCUGAACCAGCCAAGUAGCGUGAAGAAUGAAGGCGUAGGAGUGGUAAACUUCUUUUAUAUAAGAAGAUGUAUUAUAUGAAUAAGGAUCGGCUAACUCCGUGCCAGCAGCCGCGGUAAUUC
rnacentral:rRNA from 1 species